UCUUGUGGGCUGUCUUUCUUAUGAGGGGUGGGGCCUCGCUGGGCAGUCGCGCCAAGAGGGGGCGGAACCUAGUAGGUCCGCUAAAAAAGAAUUACUGGUGUCCAGGCUCGGGCAGGAGACCUGCUACCGAGAGUAAUAGCUUUUUUCGUAAAAGCGGCAGUCUUCCUCGAAUUUCCUAACCUUAACUAACACAGAUGGAGAUCACAAGUAGGCAGAGAAGCAGGCAGAGAGAGAGGAGGAAGCAGGCUCCCCGCUGAGCAGAGAGCCCAAUGCGGGGCUCGAUCCCAGGACCCUGGGAUCAUGACCCGAGCUGAAGGCAGAGAUUUUAACCCAUUGAGCCACCCAGGCACCCCUCCCUUACUGAUUUAAAUGUCAUCAUUAUCACAUACUAAAUUUCAUUCUGUAUUUCUGGACUUUUGCAAUACAUCUUUUUCCUUCUUUAAACUCUCCAGAACCGUGAGAAAAGGCCAACACACCCUGAUAGUUUCUGAAUCCCUUAUUUCUAUCAUAACUGUCUAGUACAACAGCCACUGAAGUCUUGCCUUCAGUAAACUGGUCAUUCCAGGAAACCACAGAUGACAAUUUAGGUAACUUUUCCCACUGUGUGCCCUAUAUUCAUAGUAUCCCAUUUUCCUCUGGUGACAAGGUCACCAUUGUCUUUAAACCUAGCCAGGUCAGAUCCAAUCCCAGACUUCCCUCUUGAGGGCCUGAUUCCUGCAACCAUUUCCAAUACCAAAUAUGUACAGACCAGGGCUAGAACCACAGCCACUGCCUGAGUAUGAAGAAUGGACAGUUUAACCUGUGAUCCAUGGAUUUCAGAGUUGGAUCAAGAAGCUUCCACAACCACUACUGCCACCUGAUACCAGGAAGCUUGAAAAUAGACUGGAACUUGGUGCAAAGAAGUUUCCUAACUUCUACUACCUAAUCUCAAAUCAGGCACCAGUGGCUCAGAGGUGGAGCAUGACUCUCAGAAACUUCACUUUGUAGACCUAACCUGACAGUUCCAGCUGAUCCAUGGGCCUUGCUCACAUCUUGCUUUUUAUUUCUCACCUUAAAGAAAAAAAAAUAGGAGCAAAGAAAAAAAAGUAACCAAUUGUUGGAUGAUAAAUCAGAAAGUUGUCAUUUGUCUCCUAGAGCUAGUGGGACUUAGUACGUGAUCUGAAUAUAAUAUAAAAUAUAUUGUGGGUAUCAAUGAAUGAAUGAUAAUGAAAUCCCCAAAGGGGAAUCAAUCAGUUUUUUCUGGAAGCCUCCAGAAGUAUGGAGAAAUGUGUGUUAUAUUUAUCUUUGUGUUUUUUCUUCAAAUAAAAGCUGAUUAAAGUGA